UACGGAGGGUGCAAGCGUUAUCCGGAUUCACUGGGUUUAAAGGGUGCGUAGGAGGGCAGGUAAGUCAGUGGUGAAAUCCUGGGGCUUAACCCCAGAACUGCCGUUGAUACUAUCGGUCUUGAAUGUCGUGGAGGUGAGCGGAAUAUGUCAUGUAGCGGUGAAAUGCUUAGAUAUGACAUAGAACACCAAUUGCGAAGGCGACUUACUGGACUGUAACUGACGCUGAGGCAUGAAAGCGUGGGGAGCAAACAGG
rnacentral:rRNA from 1 species